rnacentral:rRNA from 1 species
GACGUAGGGGGCCAGCGUUGCUCGGAAUUACUGGGUGUAAAGGGUUCGUAGGCGGUGCGGCAAGUUGGGAGUGAAAUCUCUGGGCUCAACUGGGCGGGGUCAGCGGAUACGGCGUGGCUGGAGCAAGCUAGGGGGCAAUGGAAUUCCCGGUGUAGUGGUGGAAUGCGUAGAUAUCGGGAGGAACACCAGUGGCGAAGGCGGUUGCCUGGAGCUUUGCUGACGCUGAUGCGCGAAAGCGUGGGGAGCGAUCCGG